CAAGAGAGUUAAUAUAACUCAGCAUACUUUUGUCUCUUCCGAAUGAAUGAAGAUUGCUUCUGAUAAAUUUUUCUGGCAAAGAAUGAAAAGAACACUUUCUCCAGAUCAUUUUCUGUACACCAAGUGCAAGAGACUGUGUUGAUCUGUUCUGGUAAAUGUACAUCCAAAAGAGCAGCUGGAAACUUGGCUAAGUUUUCAGAAGUUUACAUUUUCUGUUCCAAUCCAUCUGGCUUUUUUCCAGAAGUAAGAGUAAUGACGAUAGUGACAACCACCCCUGAAUCCUUCUUUGAGGGUAUCUCUUAUUGCUGCCAUUCCACCUGAGAUGCAGUCUUGCUUCUGAUUUUCUGUUUUUGUUGGAAAGGCAGCAGGAUAUUUCAAGGGCUUCCAUGCAGUCUUUCCUCCAGUAGCAGCUCUGACUCUCCAGAUCAAUUAACCAGUCUGAAGGUUCUGACUCUGCUAAAUAUGUUCAUCAUGAGUAGGGACUCAGGGAAUGAGUACAUGACCACAGCAGCCUUUGAACUCACUGUGAGAUGGACUUAGGCCAGGACUCCAUUUAUGGCUUUGUAUCAGUUUGAUAUGGCUGCCAUAACACAGCACCACACACUGGGUGGCUAUGACACUAGAAACUCAUUGUCCCAUGGUUCUGGAAGUUAGAAGUCUGAAAUCAAGGCAUUGACAGGGUUGGUUCCUUCCCAGGACUAUGAGGGAUUUGUUCCAGGCCUCUCUUCUUGGCUUGCAGAUGGCAUCUUCUUUCUGGGUCUCUUUACAUCAUUUUUCCUCUAUAAGUAUCUGUCUCUGUGUCCAAAUUUCCCCUUUUUAUAACGACACAAGUCAUAUAGGAUUAAAGCCCACACAAAUGACUGUAUUUUAACUUGAUUACCUCUGUAGAGACCCUGUCUCCAAAUAAGGUCACACGCUAAGGUAUUUAGGGUUAAGACACCAACAUUUCUUUUUAUAGGAGACACAAUUCAACCUAUAACAGAAUCAAACACCAGAAACUCCCUCUCUCAAAACAUACCAAUGGCAUUUCAGACCCUUAUCCAACAGCCCUGGAAAUACAUAGUAUUCCCCUUUCACCACUGCAUUAUUACUCUGGUAAGUGGCUCUGGGAAAAAAUGGGGAAAUUACUACUGUCUGUGCUUGCUGAGGCACUGCAAACUGCUUCCUCAAGACUGCCCAUCUUUCUCUUCAAUCAAUGCUGAGUCUGAGAACUGCCUCAUUUCUGGAAAGUGAAUAAAGGAUCAUGACUUCAUCUGUUUGUUGUUGUUGGCAGCUGACAUCAACGUUUGGAUCACCUGCUCUUGAUUAUUUUGCUUAAACAGAUAAAAUAAUACUCUCACUAAGUGCCUAUCUAGUAAAAGCAUUGAUGAUUGAAGUUUUUUAUUUCUUUGUUAAGAAAAAAAAACUUAUCAAGAGUAGUUUGAACAGUGCUGGCCUUCUUCCUCUCCUAUCACAUACAAUAUAAAGUGAGCAUCUUUUGUAUGCCUUGGCACAUUUUCAUAGUACUUUCUAAGUUUGAAUCAGAUUCCAGCAUUUUAUCCUUUCUACUUUUAAUGCGUUGAAUUAUCUCUGAGAGUUCUCUUAAAUGUGAAAUUUCUCACUGGCAUCGUUUUCUCUUUAACCUUUCCAUCAUGACCACUUUUCUCAUUUAGACUGAUACAGUUGCCUUUGCUAAGUUUCUCUGACUGCACGUCUAGACUCUCAUAAAUAGCAGAGGUGUCAACAUUCCCACAGUCAACUAUUUAUUCUAUAAGCCCAUUUACAUUUGAUUAGAAUUUCACUUCAAACAUUAUGCUUUUUGUUUCCUUGCUGUACUUUCAUAUUUGGCAGGCGGUUCCCUCUUUCAAGUAUCCAUUUUUGUAAAAUGUCAUAUGGCUUUAUCACUGGGAGACAAGGAGAUGACACAACUAUACAUUUGCCAUCUGUGUGUGAACUUAAUAACAGAUAUGCAUUGGCUAAUUACCUAAAGAUUUUUUAAAAAGUGACACAAUUGGUCACUGGUUAGGAUGUGCAUCUGUCAUUUAUAUAGUGCUUUAUCCACUGAAGAGAGAGCAAAGUUUGUAUUUUAUGCAAUUACUCACAGUUAAUAUAUCUUCAUAACUGAAAUGUAGAC
rnacentral:lncRNA from 10 species